rnacentral:rRNA from 1 species
CCGCGGGAUUCGAGAAAGCCCGCAAGGGUGAGUACAGCGGCGCACGGGUGCGUAACACGUGAGUAAUCUGCCCUGGAGCCCGGAAUAACCUCCCGAAAGGGAAGCUAAUGCCGGAUGAGCCCACGGGGUCCUUGGACUCUGAGGGAAAAGGCGGCCUCUGUAUACAAGCUGUCACUUCAGGAUGAGCUCGCGGCCCAUCAGCUAGUUGGCGGGGUAAUGGCCCACCAAGGCUACGACGGGUAGCUGGUCUGAGAGGACGAUCAGCCACACUGGAACUGAGACACGGUCC